AUGUUAGAAUGUCAAAGAGCUGCACCUGGGCCUGGGACGAGGCCUUCGGGUCCACAGCCAGCAUUGCAGCCGCUGCCGCCGCCGCCCUCUGCCUCCCGAACAUAUCCCCGCAAAGUCAGGGAGCUUCGCGCUUUCGUGAAGAUGUGUAAGCAGGACCCAAGAGUCCUGCACACCGAGGAGAUGCGUUUCCUGCGGGAGUGGGUGGAGAGCAUGGGGGGUAAAGUACCACCAGCUACUCAUAAAGCUAAAUCAGAAGACAGUAUCAGGGAAGAAAAAGCAGAUAGUCAGAAGACAGAAGAAAACAUACCGACAGAGGAGCCACCCAGUGAGGAAAGCGACCUAUAAAUUGAUAAUGAAGGUGUAAUUGAACCAGACACUGAUGCCCCCCAAGAAAUGGGAGAUGAAAAUGUAGAAGUAACUGAGGAGAUGAUGGAUCAAGCAAAUGAAAAGAAAGGUGCUGCCAUUGAAGCACUAAAUGAUGGUCAGCUACAGAGAGCUAUCGACUUGUUCACAGAUGCCAUCAAGCUAAACCCAUUCUAUAUGCCAAGAGGGCCAGUGUCUUCAUCAAAUUACAGAAGCCAAAUGCUGCCAUUCGAGACUGUGACAGAGCCAUUGAAAUAAAUCCUGAUUCUGCUCAGCCAUAUAAGUGGCGAGGAAAAGCACACAGACUUCUGGGCCAUUGGGAAGAAGCAGCACAUGAUGUUGCCCUUGCCUGUAAACUGGAUUAUGAUGAUGAUGCUAGUGCAAUGCUGAAAGAAGUUAAACGGAGGGCCCAGAAAAUUGCUGAGCACCGGAGAAAGUAUGACCGAAAACGUGAAGAGCGAGAGAUUAAAGAAAGAAUAGAGAGGGUUAAGAAGG